UGCAGUCGAACGGGGAGUUAUUUAUAACUCCUAGUGGCGAACGGGUGAGUAACGCGUAGACAACCUGCCUCUAAAUUGGGGACAACACCGCGAAAGUGGUGCUAAUACCGAAUGUGGUAUCUUGAUCGCAUGAUCGAGAUAAGAAAGAUGGCCUCUAUAUAUAAGCUAUCGAUUAGAGAUGGGUCUGCGUCUGAUUAGCUAGUUGGUGAGGUAACGGCUCACCAAGGCGACGAUCAGUAGCCGGUCUGAGAGGAUGAACGGCCACACUGGGACUGAGACACGGCCCAGACUCCUACGGGAGGCAGCAGUGGGGAAUCUUCCGCAAUGGACGAAAGUCUGACGGAGCAACGCCGCGUGAGUGAAGAAGGUUUUCGGACUGUAAAGCUCUGUCGUUUGGGACGAACGUGGAUUGUGUAAAUAAUGCAAUCUAAUGACGGUACCAAAGGAGGAAGCCACGGCUAACUACGUGCCAGCAGCCGCGGUAAUACGUAGGUGGCAAGCGUUGUCCGGAAUUAUUGGGCGUAAAGGGCGUGUAGGUGGAUCUUUAAGUCGUGUGUCUAAGUGCGG
rnacentral:rRNA from 1 species